ACACAGCUGGAUUCGUGCAUUGGUCUAGUGGAAUGCGGGGACGAUAAGGAGUGCUACUUAAAUACAACAACUCUCAAUGAUGGAACGUGGAUAAAGACAUAUGGAUGCGCUAAGAGAUCCACCUGCGGUUCUUCAGCGGGUCCCUUCGGGAAACGUGACCCAGCGUCAACGUCUGUGGAGUAUUGUGGGAAAGAAAUAUGCAAUAUUGACAUCGGCCAUUUCCAAGAGCCCCUAACUACUCCAUGCGGAGACCUUUCUGCUAGCGAUUGUCGAGAUCCUAUGGCUUUGAAAACAAUCUGUUCAGAUUGCGAGACGGCCGAGUACUGCCGAAAAUCGUGUGGACUGUGCCAUGACCACUCCAAUACUUGGUAUGAAAACGUUGUGUUGUUUGACUAUGACGUAGUUCACAAAACGUGUAGUCACAGUUCAUCAGUCAGCUCGGCCAUAUGCCAAAGCAUAAGUGAACAGGCUUACAAUGUGUUUGGAGUGGUACACAACAACUACACCAUUAAUGCGGCACAUACGAGAAAGGACUACCUUAUUCUCCAUCAAACGAACAGUUAUGUAAUCUUAAGGUUUAGGACGAACGGAGAGCCUCUCACAAAUUUACAACUCUACGCUUGUAAGACCACCGGUCAUGGGCGAGUAGAUGUAUUACUAAACAACAACACCAUUCAAGAGUCUUACAAUGGAACAUUUUACGCUGACCUGUCAUGGCAAAUUCAUAAACUUAAUGUAAACCAGUAUCAGAACGUCAGAGAUUACACUCUGGUAAUACGGAAAGAUGCGCUUCAAGUCAGCUACGGCCAUUACUGGUUGAGUCAUGUUCGAUUGGAAAGCGUGGUGACUCAUCAUGGUCAUAGCGGUUAAUAUCGAGAAAAUUACUUUCAAAUGAAUCCACUGCUCUGCAAUUUGCUAUUAUAAUGAAUAGUUUUAAGCAUUAAAUCGAAAAGCUAUAUCUGU
rnacentral:misc_RNA from 1 species